CCUAUCUUUGCUCUUCACGAAAAUAUUAACAGUUGUGAAGGAGAAACUUCAAACUUGCUGUGCGACUACAUAUAGCAGAAGUGGUGUUAAUCAAAUGUGGAUUCUAGAAAAUUCUAAAGAACUUUUAGUAAACUUGAAAUCGCAAAACUUUUCCCUAAUCAAUAACAUCAAAACCUAUGACUUUCAACACUAUACACGACCAUUCCUCACGAUGAAUUAAAAACUAUGUCACAUUAAAAUCUAUUUGUAUGUUUCAUUCUUAGUUCAGUUUUGUUUUGUCAAAUCAAACGUAGCUUUAUCCUGCUUGGGACCUCUUUUAAAUUGUAAAUACCCCUGUAUUAAACCUCAAUCCAUUGGACCAUAAAACCGCCAGUCCGUGCUCUCAGUAGGAACCGAGCUGUCCAGCGAGAAGGACGCAUUCAUCUGAGCACGCUUUCACCAGAAUGUUGUGACAGCAAUUACAAAAUAACUAUUGCAGACACUUUGACUUUGUUGUAAAUGUUGCCCGUGUCCAGCUUGUUCUGAGGUGCUACCUUGUAGUGUGUACCAAGUACAAAUGUACCAAGUACAACAGUAUAGAAACCAAAUACUUUGGGGAGCAUCGACAUGUGUGUUGUGUCCACGUAAGACAGCAGUCAUCAGCGUAGUGGAUCUGUGUAUAAGCCAGACGCCAUUUGAGGAACUUUUACGCUCAACGCCAUAAACCGGGACCAGAAACUGUUAAAUUUUAGUUGUAUACAAAAUAAAUGUGUAACUUGUU